GUCUAAGGCGACACCACCCUGGAUGCACCCAAUCUCAUCUGAUCUCAGAAGCUGAGCAGGAUCUGGCCUGGUUAGGACUUGGAUGGAAGACUGCCUGGGAAUACUGGGCACUGUAGGCU
rfam:Equus caballus chromosome 14, whole genome shotgun sequence.